rnacentral:tRNA from 1 species
GCCCCUAUCGUCUAGCUUGGAUAGGACGCAGGAUUGCGGAUCCUGUAACCGGGGUUCAAAUCCUCGUGGGGGCA